rnacentral:rRNA from 1 species
UGGGGAAUAUUGGACAAUGGGGGCAACCCUGAUCCAGCAAUGCCGCGUGUGUGAAGAAGGUCUUCGGAUUGUAAAGCACUUUCGACGGGGACGAUGAUGACGGUACCCGUAGAAGAAGCCCCGGCUAACUUCGUGCCAGCAGCCGCGGUAAUACGAAGGGGGCUAGCGUUGCUCGGAAUGACUGGGCGUAAAGGGCGUGUAGGCGGUUUACACAGUCAGAUGUGAAAUCCCCGGGCUUAACCUGGGAGCUGCAUUUGAUACGUGUAGACUAGAGUGUGAGAGAGGGUUGUGGAAUUCCCAGUGUAGAGGUGAAAUUCGUAGAUAUUGGGAAGAACACCGGUGGCGAAGGCGGCAACCUGGCUCAUGACUGACGCUGAGGCGCGAAAGCGUGGGGAGCAAACAGGAUUAGAUACCCUGGUAGUCCACGCUGUAAAACGAUGUGUGCUAGAUGUUGGGUAACUUUGUUAUUCAGUGUCGCAGUUAACGCGUUAAAGCACACCGCCUGGGGGAGUACGGCCGCAA